UCAGAACGUCGUGGAAGGUGGGAAAACGGGCCACCGGAGGGCAGCAGGCUCGGGGCCUGGGCCCGUAUCCUCAGGGGUCGACGACGGCCACCGCGUCGACCUCGUUCCCGGCGGCAGGAUGCCAGCCGAAGCCUCCAACCUGCGGGGCCGACUUGGGAUCGCACCUUCGCCGUGUGAUCGCUCGCGGGUUCUCCUUGCCCUGCGAUCGCUUCUGCCGACAAGUGCAGCGGUAGUGGGUGGCAUGUGGAGACAAACAUGCGGCAGUGCCCACGUGGAAGCCUCUUCACCCUCAAAUGCUCGUCUUUGCUGCGUUGGUUGUUUAGGGAGUAGUGGAGUCAAGUACAGCGUGUGAAAUUUUUCUGCUCCGUUCUGAUUCCAUGUUGGUUUCUCGACACCUAGGCCUAGGUCAAGUAGUGGAAUCGAAUAGCUAUUCCAACCAGUGGUAAUCGUUUUCUCUCCAUGAAAUAAAUCCCAGCAGCAUAUUUUUUUGGUAGAUGCAUCAUGGUCACUGGUUCUGGUUAGUUGUUUCCCCACUUCUAAUUAUUUUUCACUGAAUUUCACGCUAUUCUUCAUCGAAAAAGGAUUACUUGAAAAAUGGGUCAAAUCUGCAUAUGGCUAGCAUAUACCCAUUUGCAUGGAAGGAAAAGCAAUACUGAGCACCUGCCAAAAGAUGUUCAUAGAGACCUACGACGUACAAGUUUUGUUUGGUAUGCUGACAGACAGGACAGCAUGCAGAAGCACUUGGACAAGUUGCGAUUGGAGAUUGUGGAGUCCAAGUCGAUGAAGAGAAGAUAGUGCACAGAGAGUCCAAGACUCUAGGGAAAAGGAGGAGAAUAUUAGGGAAAAUAAAUUUGGAAAUCCCGUUGUUUAUUAUUCUUGGAGGAAACCCAUUGUACUACUACCUCCAUCCCAAAAUAAGUAUCUCAACUUUAGUGCAACUUGUUCUAAAGUUAGAACAAACUUGAGACAUUUAUUUUGGGACAGAGGGAGUAUUAGGUAAGGUCUAACUAAGGACCCUAAUUGUGUUAGGAAAGGUCAAGGGCUUCAGCAUCCACUUUUAUAAAGAUGCGAUGCAUGUACUCCCUCCGUUUCUUUUUACUCCGCAUAUAAAAUUUGGUCAAAGUCAAACUACACAAAGUUUGACCAAAUUUAUAUA